UACAGAGGGGGCAAGCGUUGUUCGGAAUUACUGGGCGUAAAGGGCGCGUAGGCGGCCCGCUAAGUCGAACGUGAAAUCCCCGAGCUCAACUCGGGAACUGCGUCCGAUACUGGCGGGCUUGAAUCCGGGAGAGGGAUGCGGAAUUCCAGGUGUAGCGGUGAAAUGCGUAGAUAUCAAGAGGAACACCAGUGGCGAAGGCGAGUCCCUGGACAACACCUGACACUGAGGCACGAAAGCUAGGGGAGCAAACAGG
rnacentral:rRNA from 1 species